UACGGGGGGGGCAAGCGUUGUUCGGAAUUACUGGGCGUAAAGGGCUCGUAGGCGGCCAACUAAGUCGGACGUGAAAUCCCUCGGCUUAACCGGGGAACUGCGUCCGAUACUGGAUGGCUUGAGUUCGGGAGAGGGAUGCGGAAUUCCAGGUGUAGCGGUGAAAUGCGUAGAUAUCUGGAGGAACACCGGUGGCGAAGGCGAGUCCCUGGACAACUCCUGACACUGAGGCACGAAAGCUAGGGGAGCAAACAGG
rnacentral:rRNA from 1 species